CUUACACAUGCAAGUCGAACGGUAGAGUAGCAAUACUUGAGAGUGGCGAACGGGUGAGUAAUAUAUCGGAACGUGCCCAGUCGUGGGGGAUAACGUAGAGAAAUUUACGCUAAUGCCGCAUACGAUCUAAGGAUGAAAGCGGGGGACUCGCAAGAGCCUCGCGCGAUUGGAGCGGCUGAUAUCAGAUUAGGUUGUUGGUGAGGUAAAAGCUCACCAAGCCGACGAUCUGUAGCUGGUUUGAGAGAACGACCAGCCACACUGGGACUGAGACACGGCCCAGACUCCUACGGGAGGCAGCAGUGGGGAAUUUUGGACAAUGGGCGAAAGCCUGAUCCAGCAAUGCCGCGUGCAGGAAGAAGGCCUUCGGGUUGUAAACUGCUUUUGUACGGAACGAAACGGUCUGCUUUAAUAAAGUGGGCUAAUGACGGUACCGUAAGAAUAAGCACCGGCUAACUACGUGCCAGCAGCCGCGGUAAUACGUAGGGUGCGAGCGUUAAUCGGAAUUACUGGGCGUAAAGCGUGCGCAGGCGGUUAUAUAAGACAGUUGUGAAAUCNNCGGGCUCAACCUGGGAAUUGCAUCUGUGACUGUAUAGCUAGAGUACGGUAGAGGGGGAUGGAAUUCCGCGUGUAGCAGUGAAAUGCGUAGAUAUGCGGAGGAACGCCGAUGGCGAAGGCAAUCCCCUGGACCUGUACUGACGCUCAUGCACGAAAGCGUGGGGAGCAAACAGGAUU
rnacentral:rRNA from 1 species